AGUUAAUGAACUUGUAAUAAGUAUAUGUUUUGAAAGCAUAAAAAAGAAAUCUCAAUUUUCUAUUAACUU
rnacentral:tRNA from 1 species